rnacentral:rRNA from 1 species
GACGGGGGAUGCCAGCGUUAACCGGAAUCACUGGGCGUAAAGCGUCUGCAGGUGGUGAUGCAAGUCACUGGUGCAAAACUCUGGCUCAACCGGAGGAAAGCCAGUGAAACUGCAUGACUAGAGUGUGGGAGAGGUAGAAGGAAUUCCCCGUGUAGCGGUGAAAUGCGUAGAUACAGGGAAGAACACCGGAGGCGAAAGCGUUCUACUGGAACACAACUGACUCUCAGAGAAGAAAGCUAGGGGAGCGAAUGGG